rnacentral:rRNA from 1 species
GAUGAACGCUGGCGGCGUGCCUAAUACAUGCAAGUCGAGCGAAUGGAUUGAGAGCUUGCUCUUAUGAAGUUAGCGGCGGACGGGUGAGUAACACGUGGGUAACCUGCCCAUAAGCCUGGGAUAACUCCGGGAAACCGGGGCUAAUACCGGAUAACAUUUUGAACCGCAUAGUUCGAAAUUGAAAGGCGGCUUCGGCUGUCACUUAUGGAUGGACCCGCGUCGCAUUAGCUAGUUGGUGAGGUAACGGCCCACCAAGGCAACGAUGCGUAGCAGACCGGAGAGGGGGGUGGGGCACACGGGGACAGAGACACGGCCCAGACUCCUACGGGAGGCAGCAGUAAGGAAUCUUCCGCAAUGGACGACAGUCUGACGGAGCAACGCCGCGUGAGUGAUGAAGUCUUUCGGGUCGUAAAACUCUGUUGUUAGGGAAGAACAAGUGCUAGUUGAAUAAGCUGGCACCUUGACGGUACCUAACCAGAAAGCCACGGCUAACUACGUGCCAGCCGCCGCAGUAA